rnacentral:rRNA from 1 species
GACGGAGGAUGCAAGUGUUAUCCGGAAUCACUGGGCGUAAAGCGUCUGUAGGUGGUUCGAAAAGUCCACUGUUAAAAAUUGAGGCUUAACUUCAAAGAUGCCGUGGAAACUUUCAAACUAGAGUAUGGUAGGGGUAGAGGGAAUUUCCGAGUGGAGCGGUGAAAUGCGUAGAUAUUGGAAAGACCACCGAUGGCGAAGGCACUCUACUGGGCCAUUACUGACACUGAGAGACGAAAGCUAGGGGAGCAAAUGGG